CACGUAGGGUGCGAGCGUUGUCCGGAAUUAUUGGGCGUAAAGAGCUCGUAGGCGGUGUGUCGCGUCGGCCGUGAAAACCUGCAGCUUAACUGUGGGCUUGCGGUCGAUACGGGCAUCACUGGAGUUCGGCAGGGGGAGACUGGAAUUCCUGGUGUAGCGGUGAAAUGCGCAGAUAUCAGGAGGAACACCGGUGGCGAAGGCGGGGUCUCUGGGGCCGAUACUGACGCUGAGGAGCGAAAAGUGUGGGGGAGCGAACAGG
rnacentral:rRNA from 1 species